ACCGGCAAACGGGUGCGGAACACGUACACAACCUUCCUUUAAGUGGGGAAUAGCCCAGAGAAAUUUGGAUUAAUACCCCGUAAUAUAUAGAAGUGGCAUCACUUUUAUCUUAUAGCUCCGGCGCUUAAUGAUGGGUGUGCGGCUGAUUAGAUAGUUGGCGGGGUAACGGCCCACCAAGUCUGCGAUCAGUAACUGGUGUGAGAGCACGACCAGUCACACGGGCACUGAGACACGGGCCCGACUCCUACGGGAGGCAGCAGUAAGGAAUAUUGGUCAAUGGACGCAAGUCUGAACCAGCCAUGCCGCGUGGAGGAUGAAGGCCCUCUGGGUUGUAAACUUCUUUUAUCUAGGACGAAAAAGGGACUUUCUAGUUCAACUGACGGUACCAGAGGAAUAAGCACCGGCUAACUCCGUGCCAGCAGCCGCGGUAAUACGGAGGGUGCAAGCGUUAUCCGGAUUCACUGGGUUUAAAGGGUGCGUAGGUGGGCAGGUAAGUCAGUGGUGAAAUCUUUGGGCUUAACCCGAAAACUGCCAUUGA
rnacentral:rRNA from 1 species